AGUAGGGAGGGUAGUGUCCUCUCUUGGCUAUAACGGAUAACGGAGUUUCAGGGAACGAUUCCGGAGAGAGAGCACGAGAUUCGGCUCUCACAUCUAAGGAAGGCAGCAGUGGCGCAAAUUACCCCAUGGACUAACGUCCGAGGUAGCGACGGUCAAUAACUCUGAACCUGGACUCUGUCUAGGCUCGGUUUGGAAUGGAUGGGUUUUAAAAACACCCAUGAGGAUCAAUUGGAGGGCAAGUCUGGUGCCAGCAGCCGCGGUAAUUCCAGCUCCAAUAGCGAGCACCAUUUCUGCUGCAGUUAAAAAGCUCGUAGUUGAACUUUUGGGUUGGCCACGGUGGGCGGGCUUUUACUAGUCCGUCAUCACUUUCGGUCGGCUCUUUCGUGGGGUCUGGUGCGUUGUCCAUUGAUUUGGGUUUCGUGCUUCCCACCAUUUACUGUGAGGAAAUCUACGCGCUUCAAGCCUUUAUUCGAAAGAAAGCUUCAGCACGGAAUGAUAAGAUACGACAGAAUCGUACUUGUUGGUUUUACGACUUUGUAAUGAUAAAUAGGAAUAGUCGGGGCAAUUUGUACUGGUGCGUCAGAGGUGAAAUUCUUGGAUCGCAGCAAGACAAUCUACAGCGAAGGCAUUUUGCAAGGAUGUUUUCAUUAAUCAAGAACGUCAGUUAGGGGAUCGAAGAUGAUUAGAUACCGUUGUAGUCCUAACCGUAAACGAUGCCGACUGCCAAUCGUUGCCGUUUAAUUUUUAGACGACAGCGGCGGGCGAGAGAAAUCGAAGUCUUUGGGUUCUGGGGGGAGUAUGAGCGCAAGCUUGAAACUUAAAGGAAUUGACGGAAGGGCACACCAGAGGUGGAGCUUGCGGCUUAAUUUGACUCAACACGGGAAAACUUACCAGGGUCGGACUUUUGCAGGAUUGACAGAUUAAUAGCUCUUUCAUGAUUAAAAGGGUGGUGGUGCAUGGCCGUUCGUAGUUGGUGGAGUGAUUUGUCUGGUUAAUUCCGUUAACGAACGAGACCACGUCAUUAUAAUAGGUCGCGUUGACUCACGUCAGUGUCGGCUUUCUUUAAUGGACUUUCCGUUUCCAACGGGAGGAAGUUCGUGGCAAUAACAGGUCUGUGAUGCCCUCAGAUAGCCUGGGCCGCACGCGUGCUACAAUGGAAACGACAACAGGUAUACUGUGCUCGUCCGGAAGGGCUUGCUAAUCCUCAAUUGUUUUCGUGAUGGGGCUUGAACUUUGAAAUUAUGGUCCAUAAACGAGGAAUCUCUAGUAAGGGCGUGUCAUCAACGCGCCCUGAUUACGUCCCUGCCCUUUGUACACACCGCCCGUCGCACCUACCGAUGAAAAUUACAUCGAGGCCUCGGGAGUUGCCUUGAAACGGGGUCAAACCUGCUUCUUGGCGGCGAACUUGGUCAAGUUGUUGUCUUUAGAGGAAGGUGAAGUCGUAACAAGGUU
rnacentral:rRNA from 1 species